AAGAAUUAAUUUUUGGUACUUUUGACAUAAUCCAUUACAAUUUCUAUAGGCUCUUACCACUGUAUCCUUGAUUACUAAGGAGACAGGAAACUAAGUCUGGUGGAUGAAUGUGACCAUUAGACCAGACCCAUGAUCUUUUGGGUCAUGGCGCCGUAGAUGAUCGUUCUCAGCUCCUAUCAUAGUUCCUGGGAUGGUCUAAUGGCUGUCUGACAGACU